rnacentral:ncRNA from 2 species
AUUUGUUGGUUGGAAAUAGAAGUAUUUCAUGAAAAUGGAAGCAGGUGAAAAUCCUGAGCUGUCCCGCAGCCGUGAAAGGGAGUUAAAGCGUAAUACCACUGGGAAACUGGGAAGGUGCUAAGACGUUGAACUUGAGCCGGAAUACAUGCCAACAUCU